rnacentral:rRNA from 1 species
GACAGAGGAUGCAAGCGUUAUCCGGAAUGAUUGGGCGUAAAGCGUCCGCAGGUGGCUGUGUAAGUCUGCUGUUAAAGAGUGAGGCUCAACCUCAUAAAGGCAGUGGAAACUACAUGGCUAGAGUGCGCUCGGGGCAGAGGGAAUUCCUGGUGUAGCGGUGAAAUGCGUAGAGAUCAGGAAGAACACCGGUGGCGAAAGCGCUCUGCUAGGCCGCAACUGACACUGAGGGACGAAAGCUAGGGGAGCGAAUGGG